CUGACUUUGACUUGAAAAAAAUUCACAAAAAAAAACCCUUACUUUGAGCACUAGAACCACUUGGAUAUUACGUCGGGGAUGAAUACUUUGGAACUAAAAGUGUACCUCGAAUACAUAUCCCUGACACCGUACGAACUCUUACUUAGUUCCCCAAAAAAAACACCAGUAUUCUCUUACUGUGUUAAGGUACAUGGGAGCCGUUUUUCCAAGACCCACUACUUUUAAGGGGCUCUCCUUACCCACUCCCUUCUCGCCUACGAUUAUAUGCCCCUUAAAUGCCCACCGCACUCGUUCAUAUCUUCGACACGAACCUAAAAACAAAUUUCCCUUAGGAAAUUAUUUAUGUUAUUCCUGAAUGCAUUCAUCUUUGUUCCCAGCAAUCAGCUGUUUGAAGUUUCUAUAACAAGAUGGAUGACAAUGAACGAAGGUGACAGACAUCCCAUGAACAAGAAGAAAAAAUGAAAACCAAAUACACCAAAUAAAACAAAACAAAUUGGAAAAACCCUCCAUUUAAUAAUUUUAAUUAUUUUCCCUCAACAACAAAACUAUUGAAACAACAAUCCCAUCCGUAUUAACGUAUUCGCAGCUUGGCCUUGACCACACGGAUGCGUGUGAGCUGUGGCGAUGGUAAGAGCUUCUCAGCGGUGGGCGCUUCCUGGUCCAUUUAUCUUCGUCUAUAGCACGACAAGGCAGCCACAACAAAACAUCGGUUUUGCCAUGGUGUUAACGCGGCAGAGACGAUGGAAGGAUGCCUCUUAAGUACCAAUGUCUUCGAACGGUGGGGACUAACCCACUUACCCACACGCCGGGCAAUACCUUUCUUAGUGGUCUUUCCCCAUCUCUCAGGUGCAAAUUUUUAUUACUGGGCUUACUCAAAGCUGACGAUUCGAAGAUUCAUGGUUACACAACCUACUAAAACUAAAAUUUGGUGAGUGAUCUACCCACUAAUUAAGUUAAGCAUUACCUAUUUGUUCUUGUACUAGUUUAUUAACCGUAUUAUCAACGAUACUUCCAAUCUAAUUUUGUAAGGCGUUUUGUGUGCGAAAAAUAAAAACAUUGUUAAGAUACUGUUGUAAGUUUCUUGCUUUCUUAGGGGUAUUGUAUCCGUGGUUGUUUUCUUUUUCUUGGCAUUAGGAAUUUCGUCACCUUGCCCGGGGCUUCAAAUAGUUCUUUUCUUUUUUUUUUCAUUUGGAAGUAUUUUGUGCACCAUGAUACUGGAUCUUGUUUACUAAUGCAUCUCUUACUACCUAUUAGGCGCUAUC